UACGUAGGGUGCAAGCGUUGUCCGGAAUUAUUGGGCGUAAAGGGCGCGUAGGCGGCCCGGUAAGUCAAAGGUGAAAUCCCUCGGCUCAACUGAGGAACUGCCUUUGAAACUGUCGGGCUUGAGGCCGGGAGGGGGUAGCGGAAUUCCCAGUGUAGCGGUGAAAUGCGUAGAUAUUGGGAGGAACACCGGUGGCGAAGGCGGCUACCUGGACCGGUUCUGACGCUGAUGCGCGAAAGCGUGGGUAGCAAACAGG
rnacentral:rRNA from 1 species